CAGCCGCCACGGUAAUACGUAGGGUGCAAGCGUUAAUCGGAAUUACUGGGCGUAAAGCGUGCGCAGGCGGUUCGGAAAGAAAGAUGUGAAAUCCCAGAGCUUAACUUUGGAACUGCAUUUUUAACUACCGGGCUAGAGUGUGUCAGAGGGGGGUGGAAUUCCACGUGUAGCAGUGAAAUGCGUAGAUAUGUGGAGGAACACCGAUGGCGAAGGCAGCCCCCUGGGAUAACACUGACGCUCAUGCACGAAAGCGUGGGGAGCAAACAGGAUUAGAGACCCCUGUAGUCCCUGUCUCUUAUAC
rnacentral:rRNA from 1 species